GUGGGGAAUUUUGGACAAUGGGCGCAAGCCUGAUCCAGCCAUUCCGCGUGCAGGAUGAAGGCCUUCGGGUUGUAAACUGCUUUUGUACGGAACGAAAAGGUUCUCUCUAAUACAGGGGGCUGAUGACGGUACCGUAAGAAUAAGCACCGGCUAACUACGUGCCAGCAGCCGCGGUAAUACGUAGGGUGCAAGCGUUAAUCGGAAUUACUGGGCGUAAAGCGUGCGCAGGCGGUGAUGUAAGACAGAUGUGAAAUCCCCGGGCUCAACCUGGGAACUGCAUUUGUGACUGCAUUGCUGGAGUGCGGCAGAGGGGGAUGGAAUUCCGCGUGUAGCAGUGAAAUGCGUAGAUAUGCGGAGGAACACCGAUGGCGAAGGCAAUCCCCUGGGCCUGCACUGACGCUCAUGCACGAAAGCGUGGGGAGCAAACAGGAUUAGAAACCCUGGUAGUCC
rnacentral:rRNA from 1 species